rnacentral:rRNA from 1 species
GGCUUCCUGGGCGACCCUCGGUCGUGGCACCGGGCCUCGAUGGAGUGCGGCAGGCUGCUGGCGGCGGACCGGGUGACGCAGGGCGCGAUGGCGCUGCGCGGGGACCCGUCGACGCCCAACUUCCUGCUGCUCCCGCCGAUCUUCUUGUUCCCGGCACUCGAGCGACUCAACCUCUCGUUGGCCUCGCUGUGGGGCCAACCGCUGCUCUCCUCGGCCUCGCGAAUUGCAGGGGCGCCCGCCUCCUCCUCCUCCAACCACCUCCCGCUCCAUCGGAAGAGAUCGCCGAGCGGAACGCCUUCAUUGCCGCGCACCUCGCCGCCUACUCCCCGCCAUGUCUGA